GUCUUCUUGGUUAUAUAAGAAGUCUGACCUGCCCGGUGAAUAAGUAUUUAACGGCCGCGGUAUUUUGACCGUGCAAAGGUAGCAUAAUCAUUAGUCUUUUAAUAGAGGGCUGGAAUGAAGGGUUUGACGAAAUGCUUACUGUCUCAUUUAAUUUGAAAUUUGAAAUUGACUUUUUAGUUAAAAGGCUAAAUUGUUAUUGAAAGACGAGAAGACCCUAUAGAGCUUUAUAUUUUAAAAUUUGAAGAAUUUUUGCUUAAUUAUUAUUUUUUAAAUGGAAAACUAUUUUGUUGGGGUGACAAAAAUAUAUAAUAAACUUUUUUAUUACAUUAACAUUGAUAUAUGAAUAUUAGAUCCAUUAUUAUUGAUUGUUAGAGAAAGUUACCUUAGGGAUAACAGCGUAAUCUUCCUUCAGAGUUCAAAUUUACAGGAAGGCUUGCGACCUCGAUGUUGGAUUAAGAUAAUAAUUAGGUGCAGCUGCUUAAUUAAUAGGUCUGUUCGACCUUUAAUUUCUU
rnacentral:rRNA from 1 species